ensembl:snRNA U6 U6 spliceosomal RNA
GUGCUCGCUUUGGCAGCACAUAUACUAAAAUUGGAACGAUACAGAGAAGAUUAGGAUGGCCCUGUGCAAGGAGGACAUGCAGAUUUGUCAAGUGUCCCAUAAAUUA